UACGAAGGGGGGCUAGCGUUGCUCGGAAUCACUGGGCGUAAAGGGUGCGUAGGCGGGUCUUUUAAGUCAGGGGUGAAAUCCUGGAGCUCAACUCCAGAACUGCCUUUGAUACUGAAGAUCUUGAGUUCGGGAGAGGUGAGUGGAACUGCGAGUGUAGAGGUGAAAUUCGUAGAUAUUCGCAAGAACACCAGUGGCGAAGGCGGCUCACUGGCCCGAUACUGACGCUGAGGCACGACAGCGUGGGGAGCAAACAGGG
rnacentral:rRNA from 1 species